UACGUAGGGGUGCAAGCGUUAAUCGGAAUUACUGGGCGUAAAGCGUGCGCAGGCGGUUUUGUAAGUCUGUCGUGAAAUCCCCCGGGCUCAACCUGGGAAUUGCGAUGGAGACUGCAAGGCUAGAAUCUGGCAGAGGGGGGGUAGAAUUCCACGUGUAGCAGUGAAAUGCGUAGAGAUGUGGAGGAACACCGAUGGCGAAGGCAGCCCCCUGGGUCAAGAUUGACGCUCAUGCACGAAAGCGUGGGGGAGCAAACAGG
rnacentral:rRNA from 1 species